rnacentral:rRNA from 1 species
UACAGAGGUCUCAAGCGUUGUUCGGAUUCAUUGGGCGUAAAGGGUGCGUAGGCGGCGCGGUAAGUCGGGUGUGAAAUCGUUGGAGCUUAACUCCGAAACUGCAUUCGAUACUGCCGUGCUUGAGGACUGGAGAGGAGACUGGAAUUUACGGUGUAGCGGUGAAAUGCGUAGAUAUCGUAAGGAAGACCAGUGGCGAAGGCGGGUCUCUGGACAGUUCCUGA